rnacentral:rRNA from 1 species
UGGGGAAUAUUGCACAAUGGGCACAAGCCUGAUGCAGCCAUGCCGCGUGUGUGAAGAAGGCCUUCGGGUUGUAAAGCACUUUCAGCGAGGAGGAAGGGUAGUGUGUUAAUAGCACAUUGCAUUGACGUUACUCGCAGAAGAAGCACCGGCUAACUCCGUGCCAGCAGCCGCGGUAAUACGGAGGGGGCAAGCGUUAAUCGGAAUUACUGGGCGUAAAGCGCACGCAGGCGGUUUGUUAAGUCAGAUGUGAAAUCCCCGCGCUUAACGUGGGAACUGCAUUUGAAACUGGCAAGCUAGAGUCUUGUAGAGGGGGGUAGAAUUCCAGGUGUAGCGGUGAAAUGCGUAGAGAUCUGGAGGAAUACCGGUGGCGAAGGCGGCCCCCUGGACAAAGACUGACGCUCAGGUGCGAAAGCGUGGGGAGCAAACA